GUCGUACUCCCUCCGUUCGGAAUUACUUGUCACAAAAAUGGAUGUAUCUACAACUAAAAUACAUCUAAAUGCAUUCAUUUCUUCGACGAGUAAUUCCGAACGGAGGGAGUACAAG
rnacentral:pre_miRNA from 1 species